rnacentral:rRNA from 1 species
UACGUAGGGCGCAAGCGUUGUCCGGAAUUAUUGGGCGUAAAGAGCUCGUAGGUGGUUUGUCGCGUCUGCCGUGAAAGCCCGGGGCUUAACUCCGGGUCUGCGGUGGAUACGGGCAGACUAGAGGCAGGUAGGGGAGAACGGAAUUCCGCGUGUAGCAGUGAAAUGCGUAGAUAUGCGGAGGAACACCGAUGGCGAAGGGCAAUCCCCGUGGGCCUGCACUGACGCUCAUGCACGAAAGCGUGGGGAGCGAACAGG